rnacentral:rRNA from 1 species
UGGGGAAUUUUGCACAAUGGGGGCAACCCUGAUGCAGCGACGCCGCGUGAUUUAAAAGGCCUUCGGGUUGUAAAAAUCUUUUGUAUGGGAAGAAAAUGACAGUACCAUACGAAUAAGGACCGGCUAAUUACGUGCCAGCAGCCGCGGUAAUACGUAAGGUCCGAGCGUUGUCCGGAAUCAUUGGGCGUAAAGGGUACGUAGGCGGAUAAGCAAGUUAGAAGUGAAAUCCUAUAGCUCAACUAUAGUAAGCUUUUAAAACUGCUCAUCUUGAGGUAUGGAAGGGAAAGUGGAAUUCCUAGUGUAGCGGUGAAAUGCGCAGAUAUUAGGAGGAAUACCGGUGGCGAAGGCGACUUUCUGGCCAUAAACUGACGCUGAGGUACGAAAGCGUGGGUAGCAAACAGG